GCCGAAGUAGCUCAGUAUGGUAGAGCACGUGAUUUGUAAUCUCGAAGUCGUGGGUUCGAUUCCCACCUUCGGCU
rnacentral:tRNA from 1 species